GGAAAACAACACUACUCUGGGUCUGACGAGGACUCUGGAUGAGCUCUCUCUGAACCUCAGCUCCACCAGCAACUCCUCUCAGUCUGGGGUGGUUCAGCCCAACCUGGUGGUCCAGUCGGCUCGGUUACCUGCGGAGAACACUCAGGGAGUCCAGUUCACGUCGCUCAGAGGACUAUCUGGAAGUUUCGUUGCCA